GGGAAUCUGCCUGGUAGUGGGGGACAACGUUCGGAAACGAACGCUAAUACCGCAUACGCCCUACGGGGGAAAGGGGGGGAUCUUCGGACCUCUCGCUAUCAGAUGAGCCCGCGUCGGAUUAGCUAGUUGGUGGGGUAAAGGCCUACCAAGGCGACGAUCCGUAACUGGUCUGAGAGGAUGAUCAGUCACACUGGAACUGAGACACGGUCCAGACUCCUACGGGAGGCAGCAGUGGGGAAUAUUGGACAAUGGGGGAAACCCUGAUCCAGCCAUGCCGCGUGUGUGAAGAAGGCCUUAGGGUUGUAAAGCACUUUCAGUGGGGAGAAAGGUUGUUUACUUAAUACGUGAGCAAAUUGAUGUUACCCACAGAAGAAGCACCGGCUAACUCCGUGCCAGCAGCCGCGGUAAUACGGAGGGUGCAAGCGUUAAUCGGAAUUACUGGGCGUAAAGCGCACGUAGGCGGUUUGAUAAGCCAGCCGUGAAAGCCCCGGGCUCAACCUGGGAAUUGCGGUUGGAACUGUCAAGCUGGAGUACAGUAGAGGGGUGUGGAAUUUCAGGU
rnacentral:rRNA from 1 species